CUGUUUACCCAGCUCCAAGCUGUUAGGCUUGGUCUUCCAGGUUUUGACAAAGCCCAAACACUUCAGGCCCCUGGGUGGAUUCAUUGUCUCACCUCUGGGCUUUUGCUUUACACAGGUCUCAAACAUGUCUGACAAAAGUGAAUUAAAGGCAGAGUUGGAGCAUAAGAAGCAGCAGUUAGCCCAAAUCAGAGAGGAAAAGAAGAGGAAAGAAGAAGGAAGAAAGAAAAAGGAAACUGAUCAGAAGAAAGAAGCCGUUGCUUCUGUGCAAGAAGAAUCAGAUAUUGAAAAAAGGAGAAGAGAAGCUGAAGCAUUGCUUCAAAGCAUGGGUCUAACUCCAGAAUCCCCCAUUGUCCUUCCUCCUAUGUCUCCAUCCUCCCAAUCUGUGAGCACACCAAGCGAAACUGGAAGCCAAGACUCUGGAGAUGGUGCAGUGUGAUCUAGACAAGGACCUAUUAAACUUGGAAUAGCUAAAAUUAUGCAAGUUGACUUUCCUUCUCAUGUAAUCGUCACAUACACAAAGGAAACUCAGACUCCAGUUAUGGCUCAACCCAAAGAAGAUGAAGAAGAAGAAGAUGAUGUAGUCACUGCUAAACCACCUAUUGAACCUGAGGAAGAGAAAACUUUAAAGAAAGAUGAAGAAAGUGAUAGUAAAGCCCCCCUCAUGAGCUGACUAAAGAAAAAAAGUAGCAAAUCUUGCACUCUGAGGAAUUUUUAUGUUUCUUUGACCAUUCUACAAGAAUUGUAGAAAGAGCUCUUUCUGAGCAAAUCAACAUCUUCUUUGGCUACAGUGGAAGAGAUUUGGAAGACAAAGAAGGAGAAAAUCAGGCAGGUGCUAAACUGUCAUUAAAUUGACAAUUUUUUGACCAAUGUUGGUCAAAGCAUCGGGUUGUUAGUUGUUUGGAUUGGUCAUCUCAGUACCCAGAGUUAUUUUUGUGGCUUUCUACAAUAACAACGAAGAUGCUUCUCAUGAGCCUGAUGGUGUGGCCCUUGUUUGGAAUAUGAAAUACAAAAACACUACUCCAGAGUAUGUGUUUCACUGCCAGUCAGCCAUUAUGUCUGCUACAUUUGCAAAAUUUCAUCCAAAUCUGGUUGUUGGUGGCACAUAUUCAGGCCAAAUUGUGCUGUGGGAUAAUCAUAGCAAUAAAAGAACUCCAGUGCAAAGAACUCCACUGUCGGCUGAGGCACAGACACACCCUGUAUAUUGCGUAAAUGUUGUUGGAACACAGAAUGUUCACAAUCUGAUUAGUAUCUCUACUGAUGGAAAAAUUUGUUCAUGGAGUCUGGACAUGAUUUCCCAUCCACAGGAUAGCAUGGAAUUGGUUCCUAAACAGUCAAAGGCAGUUGCUGUGACAUCUAUGUCCUUCCUGGUUGGAGAUGUCAACAACUUUGUUGUUGGGAGUGAAGAAGGUUCUGUGUACACAGCAUGCCACCAUGGAAGCAAAGCUGGAAUCAAUGAGAUGUUCAAGGGACAUCAAGGACCAAUUACUUGCAUUCAUUGUCAUGCAGCUGUUGGAGCAGUGGACUUUUCACAUCUUUUUAUCACUUCAUCAUUUGACUGGACAGUAAAACUUUGGACAACUAAGAAUAACAAGCCUUUGUACUCAUUUGAAGAUAAUUCAGACUAUGUUUAUGAUGUUAUGUGGUCACCCACCCACCCAGCCAUGUUUGCCUAUGUGGAUGGCAUGGAUAGGCUGGAUUUGUGGAAUCUCAAUAAUGACACAGAGGUGCCAGCUGCCAGCAUUUCUGUGGAGGGUAAUCCUGCUCUUAAUCAUGUAAGAUGGACCCAUUCUGGAAGAGAGAUUGCCAUGGGUGAUUCUGAAGGACAGAUUGUUAUAUAUGAUGUGGGAGAGCAGAUUGCUGUCCCCCAAAAUGAUGAAUGGGCAUGGUUUGGCUGAACACUUGCAGAAAUUAAUGCAAACUGAGCGGAUGCAGAGGAGGAAGCAGCUACCGGAAUACCUGCUUAGCUCCUGGAAAGGGAAUAUGUAGCCUUAGUGGAUUUGGGGAAGACUCUAAGUAGAUCCUAGAACUAUUCACAUGCUUCUGUCUAAAUGAUAAUUAAAAGGAAAUUUCAUGGAUUAAACUGUGGA